rnacentral:lncRNA from 1 species
GAAAAUCCUUAAAGGGUAGUAACAGUGAUCAGUUUUCAUCAGUAAGACAGACUUUUUUCUUCAUUGACUUUUUAUUUUCUAUUUUAAAACUGAGAAAUUAUUACAAUGUUGAGGGAAAAAAUGCUUUAAUACUAAAAAAAAAAAAAAACAAAGAAAAACACUGAAGACUGUGUGUGUGUGUGUGUGUGUGUGUGUGAGAGAGAGAGAGAGAGACAGAGAGAGAGAGAGAGACACUCUGAUCUUAUGAGGCAGUAUAUUCAGAGGCACAUACUUUCAGGACUCUUCAUUAAGGCUCUAAUCCUAUUUCUCUCACCGCAGUGCAUGUUAUACCACUAUGGGCCACUAGAGGAGGAUAACUUCAAAUGAGACUACCUUUCUGCUCCCUUAUUUUUAGUUAACAACAUUGUUCUUCGUUGUACUGGCAGUUGAUCCCUGACUCUUUCUUACUAGAUCCCAGAAGCACCCACAGUAGUACCAGCAGUGCCUCCUUGACUGGACAAAACAAG